rnacentral:rRNA from 1 species
GACGAACGCUGGCGGCGUGCCUAACACAUGCAAGUCGAACGGAAAGGCCAUGCUGUUGUGGGGUUCUCUAGUGGCGAACGGGUGAGUAACACGUGAGUAACCUGCCCUUGACUGGGGGAUAACUUCUGGAGACUGGGGCUAAUACUACAUAGGAGCUUCUGAUGCAUGGUGGGGGUGGGAAAGUUUCGGCGUUUGGGGAUGUACUCGCGGCUUAUCAGCUUGAUGGUGGGGUAGUGGCUUUCCCAGGCUUUGACGGGUAGCCGGCCUGAGAGGGUGAACGGCCACCUUGGGCCUGCGAUAGGCCCCAGACUCCUACGUGAGGCAGCAGUGGGGAACAUUGCGCAGCGGGCGGACGCGUGAUACAGAAACGCCGGGUUCGGGAUGACGGCCUUCGGGUUGUAAACCGAUUUCGCCUGUGACGAAGCCUGAGUGACGGUAAUGGGUAAAGAAGCACCGGCUAACUCCGUG